rnacentral:rRNA from 1 species
UUUAAAGAGAGUUUGAUCCUGGCUCAGGACGAACGCUGGCGGCGUGCCUAAUACAUGCAAGUCGAACGAACGGAGGAAGAGCUUGCUCUUUCAAUGUUAGUGGCGGACGGGUGAGUAACACGUGGGCAACCUGCCUGUAAGUUGGGGAUAACUCCGGGAAACCGGGGCUAAUACCGAAU